UCCCCAAGGCCACCAUAACUCACGAGU
rnacentral:piRNA from 1 species